UGUAUCUUCUUCAUCAGCACCGGCGGUCGGUAAGUAUCCGCUCAACCAAAAUGGUGAAGGGUCGUCAAGGAGAACGAGUCAGACUCUACACCAGAGGAACGAUUCUCGGUUACAAAAGGUACA